CAGCAGCCGCGGGAAUACGGAGGGGGCUAGCGUUGUUCGGAAUUACUGGGCGUAAAGCGCACGUAGGCGGCUUGGUAAGUUAGAGGUGAAAGCCCGGAGCUCAACUCCGGAAUUGCCUUUAAGACUGCCGAGCUAGCAGGUGAGAGAGGUAAGUGGAAUUCCGAGUGUAGAGGUGAAAUUCGUAGAUAUUCGGAAGAACACCAGUGGCGAAGGCGGCUUACUGGCUCAUACUGGACGCUGAGGUGCGAAAGCGUGGGGAGCAAACAGGAUUAGAUACCCCAGUAGUCCCUGUCUCUUAUAA
rnacentral:rRNA from 1 species